rnacentral:rRNA from 1 species
AUUGAACGCUGGCGGCAGGCCUAACACAUGCAAGUCGAGCGAGCGGCGGACGGGUGAGUAAUGUAUGGGGAUCUGCCUGAUGGAGGGGGAUAACUACUGGAAACGGUGGCUAAUACCGCAUACUAUCGGAUGUGCCCAUAUGGGAUUAGCGAGUAGGUGGGGUAAAGGCUCACCUAGGCGACGAUCCCUAGCUGGUCUGAGAGGAUGAUCAGACACACGGGGACUGAGACACGGCCCAGACUCCGACGGGAGGCAGCAGUGGGGAAUAUUGCACAAUGGGCGCAAGCCUGAUGCAGCCAUGCCGCGUGUAUGAAGAAGGCCUUCGGGUUGUAAAGUUCUUUCGGUAGCGAGGCGUUAACCACAGAAGAAGCACCGGCUAACUCCGUGCCAGCCGCCGCGGUAAUAC